rnacentral:rRNA from 1 species
CAGGGAAUCUUGCGCAAUGGGCGAAAGCCUGACGCAGCGACACCGCGUGGGGGAAGAAGGCCUCAGGGUUGUAAACCCCUUUUCUGGGGGAAGAGAUAGGACGGUACCUCAGGAAUAAGCAUCGGCUAACUACGUGCCAGCAGCCGCGGUAAUACGUAGGAUGCAAGCGUUGUCCGGAUUUACUGGGCGUAAAGGGUGUGUAGGCGGCAUGGUAAGUCUCAUGUGAAAUCUCCCGGCUCAACUGGGAGGGGUCAUGGGAAACUGCUAAGCUGGAGGGCAGCAGAGGAAAGCGGAAUUCCGGGAGUAGUGGUGGAAUGCGUAGAUACCCGGAGGAACACCAGAGGCGAAGGCGGCUUUCUGGGCUGUACCUGACGCUGAGACACGAAAGCGUGGGGAGCAAACCGGAUUAGAUACCCCCGUAGUCC